GGAGGGAGCGCGAGGCAAGCUGCGAGGGGGGAGAGAGGGGGAUCCGGAGAGGGGAGGCGCUGUGCGAGUUGGCCGCGGCCGAGGCUGAGGGGGCCGGGCGCGCGCGCGGGGAGGGGUUCGCCCCGGCGGAAUGUGGGGAGCCCGCGGGCCUGGCGCGGGAGAGGGCUGAGUGGGAGGGGCUGUGGGUUGCGAGGACAGGUAUGGGGGAGGCUGGAGAAGUUUGGGGGCGACGGUUUGUGGCAGAGGUGAGAUAGGAGGAGUUUGGGGGAUACUGGGGUAGAGACUGAGAUAAUGGGGUUAGAUUGAAAAGAUGGAGCUGCAUGGGGGCUUUGGGGGCAAUGAGGUGUGUAGUGAGGAGAGGGGAGAGAAGCUUGGGGUCAGGGGUCUCUGUCAGGCAUGAAGUGGGCGGGGUUUGGGGGACUGUUAGAAUGGGAUGGAAGUUUGGGGUUUCAUAAGGAAGGGUAAAAAUUGAAAAGAUGAAGACAUAAAAGAGUGGGGUUUCUGGAAGGGAUUAAAGAGUUUGGGGGUGAUUGGUGUUGGGAAAAAGUCAAAAAUAUAAGAAUUGGGGGUGAUGAAGGAGAGCUGAAGAGAGUCCAUAGGAGGUGUCAAUGAGAGAAGGGAGAGCAUAUGGAACCUUAACAAGGGAUGAAGGAGGUACACCCAGGGACUCCAGAACUCCAGGUUAACAACGCCUAAUUCACCUGGGUCCAGGGGCCAGGCUUGCUGCUGAGAAGGUAGAGGUGACGUGGACCCCACCUAGCCAGGAUAAGGUGAGGUCUCACUAUGCUGGCAGGCAGGGGUGCACUGGCUAUUCAGGCGCGAUCAUAGUACCCUGCAGCUUCCAACUCCUGGCCUCAAGCAUUCCUCCAGCCUCAGUCUCUCCGCAGCUGGGACUGGGCCCUCACCACUGGGCGCAGAGACUGGGCCCUGGGCCUCUCUUUGGCACCCAGGUUGGAGUGCAGUGGCACGGAUCAGAGGUCACGGCUGCCAGAACUCCUGGGCUCCAGGGAUCUUCCCGCCUCAGCUUCCCAGUGGCUGGGACUGCAGGCGCGCUACCGUGCCCGGCUGGGGUUUGAAUCUUGUGGCUGCCAUUUACCAGCUGUGUGGUCUUCGAUAAAGUGUUUAAAUUCUCUAA